rnacentral:rRNA from 1 species
UACGUAGGUGGCAAGCGUUGUCCGGAUUUACUGGGCGUAAAGAGCGCGCAGGCGGUCGUGCAAGUCGCGUGUGAAAGCCCCCGGCUCAACUGGGGAGGGUCACGCGAUACUGCUCGACUCGAAGGCAGGAGAGGGAAGUGGAAUUCCCGGUGUAGUGGUGAAAUGCGUAGAUAUCGGGAGGAACACCAGUGGCGAAGGCGACUUCCUGGCCUGUUCUUGAGGCUGAGGCGCGAAAGCUAGGGUAGCAAACGGG